AACGAACGCUGGCGGCGGGCCUAACACAUGCAAGUCGAGCGGAACCUUCGGGGUUAGCGGCGGACGGGGGAGUAAGGCGUGGGAAUAUGCCCUUCUCUACGGAAUAGUCCUGGGAAACAGGGGGUAAUACCGUAUAGGCCCUUUGGGGGAAAGAUUUAUCGGUGCAGGAUUAGCCCGCGUUGGAUUAGGUGGUUGGUGGGGUAAUGGCCUACCAAGCCGACGAUCCAUAGCUGGUUUGAGAGGAUGAUCAGCCACACUGGGACUGAGACACGGCCCAGACUCCUACGGGAGGCAGCAGUGGGGAAUCUUAGACAAUGAGGGCAACCCUGGUCUAGCCAUGCCGCGUGAGUGAUGAAGGCCUUAGGGUUGUAAAGCUCUUUCAGCUGAGAAGAUAAUGACGGUACCAGCAGAAGAAGCCCCGGCUAACUCCGUG
rnacentral:rRNA from 1 species